rnacentral:rRNA from 1 species
ACCCGUAGAUAUCCGAAUGGGGAAACCUACGCAAGAGAACCUUGCGUAUACUAUGUUGAACACAUAGACAUAAGUAUGGGAACCCGGGGAACUGAAACAUCUUAGUACCCGGAGGAAAAGAGAUCAUUCCGCUAGUAGUGGCGAGCGAACGCGGAUCAGCCCAAACCGUUUGUGCUUGCAUAAACGGGGUUGUAGGGCCUGGUAAUAUGAGAGUUACAAACUAACUUGUUAGUUGAAUGCUUCUGGAAAGAGCAAUCAUAGAGGGUGAUAGUCCCGUAAACGAAAAUAGGUUAGCUCUCACCAGGUUCCUGAGUACCACCGGGCACGCUAAUCCGGUGGGAAUCUGGGGAGUCCACUUCCUAAGGCUAAAUACACUUAACGACCGAUAGUGAACAAGUACCGUGAGGGAAAGGUGAAAAGUACCCCGGCGAGGGGAGUGAAAUAGAACCUGAAACCGUAUGCCUACAACCUGUCGAAGGGCGUCUGGCUUGCUUACGGGCAAGCUCGGCCUGACGGCGUGCCUUUUGGAGAAUGAGCCGGCGAGUUAAUCUUUGUGGCGAGCCUAAGGGAGUUACACCUGGAGGCGCAGCGAAAGCGAGUCUUAAUAGGGCGUGUAGUCGCAGGGAUUAGACACGAAACCUGGUGAGCUACCCAUGGCCAGGGUGAAGCGGGAAUAAGUCCCCGUGGAGGCCCGAACCCACCAAUGUUGCAAAAUUGGGGGAUGAGCUGUGGGUAGGGGUGAUAUGCCAAACGAACCAGGAGAUAGCUUGUUCUCCCCGAAAUAGCUUUAGGGCUAGCGUCAUAUGUUUAGUAUCGGAGGUAGAGCACUGGAGUGGCUAGGGGGCAAAUAGCUUACCAAACCACACCAAACUCCGAAUGCCGAUACUUGAGAAUAUGGCAGUUGGGCCAUGGGGGAUGAGCUCCAUGGUCGAGAGGGAAACAACCCAGACCAUCGGCUAAGGUCCCUAAGUCUGUACUAAGUGGAAAACGAUGUGGGACUACCGAGACAGCCAGGAGGUUGGCUUAGAAGCAGCCAUCCUUGAAAGAGUGCGUAACAGCUCACUGGUCAAGUGGUCCUGCGCGGAUAAUGUAACGGGGCUAAGUACAGCACCGAAGCCAUGGGUUUAACUAUGCUUUUAGCAUAGAUGAGCAGUAGGGGAGCGUUCCGUAUGCGUUGAAGGUUGACCGUGAGGACAGCUGGAGCGUACGGAAGUGAGAAUGCCGGCAUGAGUAGCGUAAAACAUGUGAGAAUCAUGUUCGCCGUAAGUCUAAGGUUUCCGACGGAAGGGUGUUCCACGUCGGGUUAGUCGGUCCUAAGCUGAGGCCGAGAGGCGUAAGCGAUGGAUAUCCGGUUAAUAUUCCGGAACCUCCUGAGAAGAGCGAAGUGGUGACGCAGAACGGUAGGCCAGCCGGCCCAUUGGACAUGGUCGGUGCUAAACGUGUAGGUGUUGAUACUCGUAGGAAAAUCCGCGAGUUGAGCUGAGGCGUGAUGGCGUGGCCCUGAGCCUAAAGUGGUUGAGCCGAUCUGCCAAGAAAAGCCUCGUAGUGUUGAAUCUCAGGUGACCGUACCGCAAACCGACACUGGUAGACGAGUAGAGAAUACUAAGGCGAGCGGGAGAACCUUCGUUAAGGAACUAGGCAAAAUGGCCCCGUAACUUCGGGAGAAGGGGCGCCCUCUAUCGUGAUAUGUUUACUCAUUAAGCGUAUGAGGGUCGCAGUGAAAUGGCUCUGGUGACUGUUUAACAAAAACACAGGUCCCUGCGAAAGCGUAAGCUGAUGUAUAGGGGCUGACGCCUGCCCAGUGCCGGAAGGUUAAAGUGAGGGGUUAAUCAUUUUCGGAUGAUGAAGCUCUGAGCUGAAGCCCCGGUGAACGGCGGCCGUAACUAUAACGGUCCUAAGGUAGCGAAAUUCCUUGUCGGGUAAGUUCCGACCUGCACGAAAGGCGUAACAACUGGAGCGCUGUCUCAACGAAGGACCCGGCGAAAUUGAAGUAUGCGUAAAGAUGCGUAUUACCCGCAGCAGGACAAAAAGACCCCGGCAGCUUUACUAUAGCUUGGCAUUGCGUUUGGACUUACUCUGUCCAGAAUAGGUGGGAGGCUGUGAAACUGGAGCGCUAGCUUCGGUGGAGCCAAUCUUGGGAUACCACCCUGAUUAAGUUUAGACCCUAACUCCAGACCGUAAUCCGGCUGGAGGACCGUGCCAGGUGGGUAGUUUGACUGGGGCGGUCGCCUCC